CUACGGGGCGCUCCAGUGAGGAAUAUUGCACAAUGGGGGGAACCCUGAUGCAGCAACGCCGCGUGGAGGAUGACGCAUUUCGGUGUGUAAACUCCUUUUAUAUGUCAAGAAAAUGACGGUAGCAUAUGAAUAAGCACCGGCUAACUCCGUGCCAGCAGCCGCGGUAAUACGGAGGGUGCAAGCGUUACUCGGAAUCACUGGGCGUAAAGGGCGCGUAGGCGGGUUGGAAAGUCAGGUGUGAAAUCCUACAGCUUAACUGUAGAACUGCACUUGAAACUUCUAAUCGAGAGUAUGGGAGGGGGAGAUGGAAUUAGUGGUGUAGGGGUAAAAUCCGUAGAUAUCACUAGGAAUACCUAAAGCGAAGGCGAUCUCCUGGAACAUUACUGACGCUAAGGCGUGAAAGCGUGGGGAGCAAACAGGAUUAGAUACCCGGGUAGUC
rnacentral:rRNA from 1 species